AGUUGCCGUUUUUGCAAUCUCUUACAUGUAACAUAUUACAUGUAAUCCGUUACUCCCCAACCCUGAAUAUGGUUUGAAAAAAACUACAACUACUGAGCAAUUUGGAAAGAUUUGUUUUUCCAGGAGUGGUUUUCUCUUUGAAGAUACAAGUUUGAGCAUCUGUAUAAUCGUCGGCAAGGAAACGAGACGCUGCACAGCAAAGGAAAAUCUUGCGCAGGAGAGCAUACAUACAUACCUCUCACGUCAAUCAUGAUUAGUUCGUGAAAUAGUCAGAAACUGUUACAUACUUUCCCGCGGAUUGAAGUAACGCUAUAUAGUGACACAAGUUUGAAGUUUUAGUGACAAGGAAUUGUCAGGAUGAAACAUGUCUGUCGAGGAGAAUGUUCCCCCCUUUUAGGAGGAUGACAGAGUAAAGUUUAUAAAAACAAACGUUUUGUCGGAUUUUGGAAGUGAGGCAUGAAACCUGGGAGAAGAAGUGUGUUACAGUCGAGGAAAGCCAGACCGUUCUGAAAGGCGUCUUCGAAAAGCAAGGUAUUGUUUUUGACUCUACCGUCGACUGGUGCUCCCCGAGGCCUUACCUGCUUCUGAAGACAAAUAAUGUUAUGUUCUCAAGAAGAAAGCUGUGUCCAUAAUUGCUGAAAACUGCAGGAAACUUUUUGGCUUGGUCUCCCAGCCUCUUAUUCCACAGAUGUCAUUCACUGUUGAACAGUGCAGUGUGGAGGUCUGGACAAUGACCAAGUGGAGGGAGAUAAACAUGGACCAGAUGGGCGCAGAGCUCAGGAGGUUUGUCAAGAUACCUUGUAACUGGCGAUUCCUUCAAAAUGAUUGCUUACAGUUACUGUGCAAGGUUGGGUGACCAGGGCCAUCUGGGACUGCCUCCUGGAGGAAUUCAGGUGUGUGAAGGCUACCUGUGUUCUGCAUAACUUCAUGAGGAUAGACACAAGGAGCAGGAGGGGAUCUGCAGCUUCCGCUGUGUGUCAGAGGAGAAGUCUGCUGUUCUGCAGGAUGUUUCAAAGAUGGGGUCCAACAACCAGCAAGAGAGGCAAUCCAUGUGCGGGAGAUCUGCACCUCCUACUUCUUAGACGAGGUUGCUGUUCCCUGGCAACACCAUAGACUACACUAUGCACAACCAAAGGCUCUUUUAAGAGCCAUUCACAUUGCAAAAUUAAUAUUCUUCCAUUUACUUGGCUAUGUCAACUGCAGUUAUUAAAAUCCCAGUUUCUCUCCCUUUCUACUUAUCAGGUAAGGGUUUGACGUCUGUACAAAAACAAAAACAGGCUAUUUUAAAUCACCCAUAUUGAAAAAAUGUACAACAAUUAGACACCCUAUAACCCACACACUCAUGUAUAAAUCUGAUUGACGGAUUGUGUUGUGCAGUAAGCAGGCUCGGGUGUAUAACUGUGGCUCCUUCCACCUUCAAAGAAUAGGCAAGAGGGCCAACCAUGGAGAAUAGGCAAGAGGGCCAACCAUGGAGAAUAGUACGACACCUCAUUAUUUCUGUAACUACUCUGCAUUGUUUGUCCGUUCAUGUUUUUCAGCAUAAAGUGCUCUGCAGACACUUUCCCUUUGUCUUUUACACCUCUCUAACUGCCCCCUCUUUCCUCCACUGUUGUAUAAUGCACAACAGAUGUGCAUGGAAGUACAGGUUGAACUUGUAUUUAUAAUGC